CCAUUAUGAUUAUUAAUGCAUAAAAUCAAAUUGGAAAGCUACAGAAAAAAUUAGCAUGCCCUCUGUGUAAGUAUGACAUGCAUAUUCAAGGAGGAUUUCAUGUCUUU